AAUGAAUUGAAUUCAAUUCAACUAUGAUGGAACUAUAUAUAUUAACUUAUUUUUCACAUUUAUCAUUGAAGAAGCUCAUCAAUGUAUUGUUUGUGAAGCACAAAGUGAUGAUGUUCUUUCCUUCUGUUAGCACAUUAAAUCGUUUUUCUUUUCUUCUGGAGUCUGAAUCAUGGUUUCAAAAAGGUCCUUUGUGUAACCGCAUUUGUAACUUCCUUUUUGGUUUAACCAUUUCAAUGCAGGGAUUAUAAA
rnacentral:misc_RNA from 1 species